CCGCCCUCCACAAUCCAUCUGCCCCCUGGCGCGAGGACCGGUGCUUGCCGGCUGCCAGCCACUCUUGGCCCGCCCCCGGCUCUCCUCACCUGGUAGAUGCCCCGCAUGCCAGGUCAGAAGUCCACAACUAGCCCCCGGCUCUCCUCACCUGGUAGAUGCCUCGUAUGCCAGGUCAGAAGUCCACAACUAGCCCUAGUGGUGCCCCAAGAACACGGUAGGUUGCGCUGACUUGGCUGGUCCUGAGAGACUGCCCGGUGGCUGGAGGGCGUGUCACAGUGUGAGGCGUAAAGAACGCGCUGAUAGAUGUGACUCGGUAGGGAAGGGGGAGUCACAGCGUUUAAAAGUUAAUGAAAAAAGUUGGCAUGUUUUGCAUUUCAGCGACCGUAAAAAGGAAGUGGUUGCGGGGGAAGUGUGUGUGUGAACUGGGCUUGAGAACGAGAAAGGGGAAAAUCUACUAAAUUCAGGGCAGUAUUUUGAAACCUCUUUGAAAAUGUUUCAACCAUCAAUAAUAUUGAACUUUCAGAAAAUGCCAGCACCUACACCAGGCAUCUUAUACAAAAAAUAUAAAUUAUUUAAUGGUCAGGACUUGACUGUAAGGUAGAUAUAGCAGUUUCCCUCCUAUCACAAAAGAAGAAACUGAGCCUUAGGAUAAGUAAUUAAGAAUAAUCCAGCUAAAAAGUAGUAGACUCCAAAGUCUCCCUGCUGCAUGCUCUUUUCAAAGCCAACGAUUAAAGUGGUGGAGAGGGCAACACUCCUGUAUAUUGCAAGGGCAAUAGACAGUGGCUACUGACCGUGACAACAAUUUGUUUGAAUUACUAAUUACUGCUCUCAGUUAUCUAAAGAUAACUACAACAGAAAGAAAAAAUAGUUUGGUUUAACAAAAUUAAGGUGAAAGAGAGUUAAGUAGAUUGAAGCUGAAAUGCAUGCACCUGUUUUGUGAAUAGCUGUCUGAAGUAUGGUAAAGUAAUGUAGAAGUUUUAUGUGAACUUUGAAUAUGGCUUGAAAGUUCCUUCUAAAACCUAGCUUAGAAUGGGGAAAGAAAACCUUUCUUAAAAGCAACUAGUAGAGAUUAAAUGCUGGGUGAAAAUUUUUAUAGAUAUUCAUUUUAAAUAAUAGUCAAAUAAAUUCUAUUAGGAAAUGGAGACAUAGGCCCCAUGGCAAAUAAACUAAGAGGAGGAUUCAUUCAUUUACUUAAUGUUAUCAAAGAAUUUGUCUACUAUGUGCCAAGCAUCAUGUUAGGUUAUUGAAAAUACAAAAAUGAAUGAACUCAGUGAAAACAUGGACACUGAAACAGUAUCAUCAUGGGUAUGAAUUCUAGUUCCCUUAUUUAUUAGCUGUUUCCUUGGGCAAGUUACUUAACCUCUUUGAGACUGUGUGGAUUUAAUGAUAUCUCACUUAUGCAAUACUUCCUGGGAUAGGAAAUUAUCUUGGGUCAGUGGAAGUUUCCAAGUACCGUACUAGUCAGGCCAUCCCAGAGAUCAAGGAACAGAAAGGCUCAAAUCAAAUUGAGAUAUUGAGUCACAGUUCAUUAAUUUUUUUUUUUUAAUUUUAAAGAAGGUGACAUUGACUUGAAGGGAAACUAGGAUUUUUUUUUUUUAAACUGGGGAUUUAACCCAGGGGUGCUCAAACACUGAACCAUAUCCCCAACCCUUUUUAUUUUUGAGACAGGGUCUUGCUAAAUUGCUUAGGGCCUCACUAAGUUGCUGAUGCUAGCUUUCAAUUUAUGAGCCUCCUGUCUCAGCCUCCCUGGCCUCUGGGAUUACAGGUGUGCUACACUUGUAUGGAAAUUAAGAUUUUUUAAAAAACUUAUCCCUAUUUAAAGACAAAUUGACCUACAUUUUAACAGUUGCAUACAAAAAAAAUCAUAAAAUUGUUCCUGGGCAUGGUGGUCCAUACCUGUAAUCCCAGCUAUUCAGGAAAUUAAGGCAACAGGAUGGCCAACCUAGGUAACUUAGCAACAUCCUGUCUCAAAAAAAAAAAAAAAAAAAAAAAGAGCUAGGGUUAAAUUUUUUUGUUUUUUUAAAUAUUUCUUUUUUUAGUUUCAAUGAAUCUUUUGUUUUAUUUAUUUAUAUCUGGUGCUGAGGAUUGAACCCAGGGCCUCACACAUGUCAGGCGAGUGGUCUACCAACUGAACCACAAGUUUUAAAAGAGCUCAGUGGUACAGUGUCCCUGGGUUCAAUUCCCAGAACAUUAAUAAAUAAAUAAAUAAACUUGCUUUUGCAAUGAUAAAUGAAACAACAAAAACCCUCCAGACAAGAUAUGCAAGGAUUUUGGGGUGGGUGUGUAUAUGAAAAUAGAGCAAAAGAGCAUGCUACAGGGACACCGCUACAUCGAUGUUCAUAGCAGCACAAUUCACAAUAGCAAGACUGUGGAACCAACCUAGAUGCCCUUCAAUAGACGAAUGGAUAAAAAAAAUGUGGCAUUUAUACACAAUGGAGUAUUACUCUGCAUUAAAAAAUGACAAAAUCAUAGAAUUUGCAGGGAAAUGGAUGGCAUUAGAGCAGAUUAUGCUAACUGAAGCUAGCCAAUCCCUAAAAAACAAAUGCCAAAUGUCUUCUUUGAUAUAAGGAGAGUAACUAAGAACAGAGUAGGGACGAAGAGCAGGAGAAGAAGAUUAACAUUAAACAGGGAUGAGAGGUGGGAGGGAAAGGGAGAGAGAAGGGAAAUUGCAUGGAAAUGGAAGGAGACCCUCAGGGUUAUACAAAAGUACAUACAAGAGGAAGGGAGGGGAAAGGGAAAAAUAAUACAAGGGGGAGAAAUGAAUGACAGUAGAGGGGGUAGAGAGNAGGGUUUUGAACAGAACCAAUAUUUUUCCCCGUGAUGUUGAUCAAAACAUACCAUUACAUUUACUUUUUAGACAAAAAAAUAAAUUAUAAAUGUUGGAGGGGAUAUAUACAUUCAACCUGACACAUUAUACAAUGCAUACAUAUAUCAAAACAUCACACAGAUCCUAUAUAUAUAUAUAUAGUGUUCUUGUUUUAUGUAUCAGUUUAAAAUCAAAUUUUUAAAAUGUUAAAAAAAAGUAAUAUGCUUGUGCAUGUAUAACAAUUUAUUUAUGUUCAUUAAUGAUUUGGGAAAGGGGAAAUAAAAAUAGAGAAAACUAUAUCAUUAGUAGUCAAGCUGUAGUAAAACCAAAUUGUAGUUGAAUUAUAGUAGAAUCUAACUGAGUGUAUUUUUGGUUUGCAGGAACAUAAUUCUGGAAUAAAGCAGGAGAUUCCCUUUUUAGUAGACAUUUCCUGUCUGCUAUUGGAACACAUCAAUUAUAUCUUCCAUCUCCAUUUUUAAUUGUGCAGGUGUGUCUAUUUCAUUGUCCACCAUUCUAAUCUGCUUCAUUGACAAACAUUGUCAUUCACAUAGGCUUUCUGUAGUUUACUAAGCAGUUUACUGUGCCUCUUAAACUGCACCACAGAACUAUACUGCCCCACCACCCUCAAAUUAGUAUGAUCAUAGUUCUCAGUCUUGACUCCUUCCUUGGGCUUUUUGUCAGCUAUGACCAGUACCAGAGUCUCCUCAGCUGCUGCUUCACAAAAGAGGUACCAGCCACAUGUGGUGGCGCAUGCCUAUAAUCCCAGUGGGGGCUGAGGCAGGAGGAUCACGAGUUUAAAACCAGCCUCAGCAACUUAGCGAGGCACUUAGCAACUCAGAGAGACCGUGUCUCUAAAUAAAACACAAAAAAGGGUUGAGGAUGUAUGUGGCUCAGUGGCCAAGUGUCCCUGGGUUCAAUCCCUGGUACCAAAAAAAAAAAAAGUGUAGACAAAAGAGGUACCAGGUCAACAUCUAAUGAGAAUAUAAG
rnacentral:lncRNA from 1 species